rnacentral:rRNA from 1 species
GAUGAACGCUGGCGGCGUGCUUAACACAUGCAAGUCGAACGAAGCAUUUACGACAGAUUUCUUCGGAUUGAAGUUGUUUAUGACUGAGUGGCGGACGGGUGAGUAACGCGUGGGUAACCUGCCUUGUACUGGGGGAUAGCAGCUGGAAACGGCUGGUAAUACCGCAUAAGCGCACGGUGCUGCAUGGCACAGUGUGAAAAACUCCGGUGGUAUAAGAUGGACCCGCGUCUGAUUAGCCAGUUGGUGAGAUAACAGCCCACCAAGGCGACGAUCAGUAGCGGACCUGAGAGGGUGACCGGCGACAUUGGGACUGCGACACGGCCCCGACUCCUACGGGAGGCAGCAGUGGGGAAUAUUGCAGAAUGGAGGAAACUCUGAUGCAGCGACGCCGCGUGAGUGAAGAAGUAAUUCGUUAGGUAAAGCUCUAUCAGCAGGGAAGAUAGUGACGGUACCUGACUAAGAAGCUCCGGCUAAAUACGUGUCAGCAGCCGCCGUAA